AAUGGCAUUCAUCAGGAAAACAAAAUUUUAUAGCAUCCAAUUAAUUUUAAUGGACUGAAAGUAUGUUUGGUAUUGGUUUUGGUUUUUCCCAGAACAAGCCAAAACAUUUGGAUCAGCUGGCAAAAAAAAAAAAAUUACAGGGAGGAUAUAGAUGGAAGGAAAGUUAAAAAAAAAAAGUAGGAAACAAAUGGAAAAAGGGAAAUAAUUUACAGGUUUGGGAGUGUGUGCCCGACGUUGUGAAUUUCAGGAUGCCUUAGAAGCAGGACUAAAGAGCAGCUUAAUAAUUCAGAGAGGUCAUUUUUCCAGCAUUUAAAUUUGCUCUUCUGAGACACUAAAACUUUAUGGAAAAAAUGACAGUUCCAAUACUUUAAAAGGACUUUCAGUCAAAUCACUGCUUCAGAUACAGGUGGGACAUCGUGUGAACUCUGAGAUUCUGUGAUUCUAUCCACAGACUGAAAGGAAAUUCAGGAUCAAGCUGGUUAGGAUACUAAAAAAAAAAAAGAAAAGGAUAUCAACAUUUAACAGUUAUCAUCCCUUUAUCCAUAGAGGAGAAAACAUGGAUAAGAAUCAGAGAAAUUGUGACUUAUCUACCAUUAAGAAAUUAUAAUGCCUGGCAGAGCCAGAACUCAAACUUGA